rfam:Asian citrus Psyllid, Diaphorina citri - Florida Strain, whole genome shotgun sequence.
GCCAGUGGCGAUAGGAAGUUAAGUAUACCAGUUGCCAACAGAUCACUGAAGCAACGUUACACGUGGAUAGUAUCCGGAUGGGUGACCAUUUCGUCAAGCUCGUGCUGCUGGUU